ensembl:lncRNA novel transcript, antisense to ZMYND8
GCAUAGAAGUAAGAAAUCAGGAGCAAAGGUUGGGGGUGGGGAGGAAGCAAAAUUGUCCUCGCAGCAGAGAAUGCCUAAGCCAGGAGGAACUUGUAAAUGAAAACCGCUCGCAUUAGCAAAUGAUUAUUUCCUCCAACGCUGACCGUCUCUUAGACCCACAGAAACUCGAGGACCGGUCUGCACCCUGGCUGACUUGGGCCUGCCAGAGCUGCCGGGCUGAGCCCUCUCCUCCAGAGGACUGCACUGGCCUGAACUGUGCUUAUAAAGAAUCUCUGCAAAUCAACAGGAACUUCUCAUCCAGAGCCGGGAUAGGGAGGGCUGGAAUGGAAAUGAGGCUGUGGAAUGAAAGGUCACUCUCAACUUGGGGAAAAUGGCAUUUCACCAGGAACAUCAAGUACCUCGGAGGCAGAACAUGCGAGGGGCAGGGAACGCCAAGAGGAGGCACUUACCUGCCAUUGAGAAAGUGCGGCUGCUCAGAGGGCCUAGCCUCUCUUGUUCAAAAGAGAACAGAGGCUCACCCACAGCAGACAUUCCUGCUUCCGGAUCCUCAGCGGCCUCUCCCAGGGGGAGGAGGAAGAAGCAAAGAGAACAGGCUAAGAGUCACCACUUACCAGGCCAGCCCCGGUCUUGUACGCAUUAGGUCGCCCGGCGGGGCAAGGACACUGUCACCUCUUUGCAAUCAGGCAGUCUGAAACCCAGCGACUUGCCUUCAUGUCCCCGGGCUUUCGCCUAUAAUUUAUCACCCUCAACAGCAGCUCGGCUGAGCUGAAAGUCUCCGGUGCAGUGCACCGAAGAGCCAUUGAUUUCGUGGGAUUGUGAAUAAAUACGAGGAACUGCAGUUGUUCUGCUGGCCGAGGUGACAAUAUCAGAAGGGAGCCUGGGGGGAGGGAAACAGCUGUGGUUUGCAUUUUGAAGUUGUUUUUAACAUUUUUAGUAAUUGUUUCAGAUUCUCCAGUUCUGAUGCCCCUCUCCUAGAAAUGAGAAAACCCAUCUUUUAUACUUGAGGUAUAAUCCUUUCCCACUAGACACAGCCUCCUCCACCCUUCUCUCAAUAAUGCAGAAGUGGUGAUUAAAGGGCACAUUCAUAUGUAAAAGGCGAACUUCCAAACUCGCCUGGCAGGACAGAAAUUGCUUCAAUCUACAGAAAAGAGGCUGAUUUACAAUUGAAUUCAGUGUUUAGCCCUCAACAACUAGAGGCAAUAGCAACCGCGGCCCUUUCUCCUCCCCAGCUGGGAUGAGGCCCUCUGGAAAAACGACAACAUCGCAACAGGAAUUUCCUGGAUCAAGAAUGCCAAGUUCUUUCCAAUUUUACUGAGGCAGGAUCCGACUCCCUGUGAGAACGCACUGCCCACCACCCACCCACCCCCUCAGCAGGCCCAGGCCCCAAAGGCUCCCUCCAACAUGUGUACAUGAGGCCCUUCAAACUCGACCGGAACACCACAAAGAAUGUGGAGAAACCGGUUGCCUCUGGCCUUUACAUUGUGGCUGGCUGAGGAGCUGGUUCUGGUGGCUGACACCCGUUGGCACUAUUUAUCCAGCCCCUGCCUGGCUUGGGUUCUGGAAAUCUCCGGUGGUAGUGGCUUCCAAACUGCAAUGGGGAAUCGCGGCGUCAGAGGGCAAUUCAGAAACAAAAAGACAGUUCUGUGCUGGCAGCAUUUGAAGCACAGAAGUGGGUUGGGAGAAGCAAAGGGAAAUUAGCUUCAGAAAGGGGGCAGAUGAAGGAAGAGGCGCCACUGCUAACCAACCAAGGUCCCCAUCUGCCCUGGAUGGUAUCUCUAAAAGCCACCUAAAGAAGGCAAAAUUCUCUACUGAAACGCCAGGUACGAAGGGACAGGCCCUCCACAGUCACCUUGUCACAUUCCUUUGGGGAGCGAAGAGUUCAGACCCAACAUGUCACCCAAAUUACCCUGGCCAGCCACCACGUAAAGAUGCUGCGGCUGUGCAUGGUGGCUCACGCCUGUAAUCCCAACACGUUGGGAGGCCAAGGCGGGCGGAUCACCUGAGGUCAGGAGUUCGAGACCAGCCUGGCCAACAUGGCGAAAUCCUGUCUCUAUUAAAAAUACAAAAAUUAGCCGGGUGUGGUGGCACACACCUGUGGUACCAGCUACUCCUACUGGGGAAGCUGAGGCAGGAGAAUCGCUUGACCCCAGGAGGCUGGAGUGCAGUGAGUCGAGAUCACGCCAUUGCACUCCAGCCGGGGUGACAGAGCAAGAUGCCAUCUCAAAAAUAAAUAAAUAAAGAUGCUUAACAUCA